rnacentral:rRNA from 1 species
GUGUCAGCAGCCGCGGUAACACGUAGGAGACAAGCGUUAUCCGGAUUUACUGGGCGUAAAGCGCGUGCAGGCGGUUUGGAAAGUUGGAUGUGAAAGCUCCCGGCUUAACUGGGAGAGGUCAUUCAAAACUUCCAGACUAGAGAGUGGUAGAGGAAGGUGGAAUUCCGGGUGUAGUGGUGAAAUGCGUAGAUAUCCGGAGGAACACCAGUGGCGAAAGCGGCCUUCUGGACCAUUUCUGACGCUCAGACGCGAAAGCUAGGGUAGCAAACGGGAUUAGAGACCCCGGUAGUCCUAGCCGUAAACUAUGUUGACUUGGCGUUGGUGGGUUAAUAUCCGCCAGUGCCGUAGCUAACGCGAUAAGUCAACCGCCUGGGGACUACGAUCGCAAGAUUAAAACUCAAAUGAAUUGACGGGG